CGUAACGCGUAUACAAUCUACCUUUUACAGAGGGAUAGCCCAGAGAAAUUUGGAUUAACACCUUAUGGUAUUAUAAAAUGGCAUCAUUUAAUAAUUAAAACUUCGGUGGUAAAAGAUGAGUAUGCGUUCUAUUAGCUAGUAGGUAAGGUAACGGCUUACCUAGGCGACGAUAGAUAGGGGCCCUGAGAGGGGGAUCCCCCACACUGGUACUGAGACACGGACCAGACUCCUACGGGAGGCAGCAGUGAGGAAUAUUGGACAAUGGAGGCAACUCUGAUCCAGCCAUGCCGCGUGCAGGAAGACGGCCCUAUGGGUUGUAAACUGCUUUUAUAUAGGAAGAAACCUUUCCACGUGUGGAAAGCUGACGGUACUAUAUGAAUAAGCACCGGCUAACUCCGUGCCAGCAGCCGCGGUAAUACGGAGGGUGCAAGCGUUAUCCGGAAUCAUUGGGUUUACAGGGUAAGUAGGCGGAAUAAUAAGUCAGUAGUGAAAUCCUGCAGCUUAACUGUAGAACUGCUAUUGAUACUGUUAUUCUUGAAUAUAGUUGAGGUAGGCGGAAUGUAUAAUGUAGCGGUGAAAUGCUUAGAUAUUACACAGAACACCGAUAGCGAAGGCAGCUUACUAAACUGUGAUUGACGCUCAUGAACGAAAGCGUGGGGAGCGAACAGGAUUAGAUACCCUGGUAGUCCACGCCGUAAACGAUGAUUACUGGUUGUUGGCGAUACACUGUCAGCGACUAAGCGAAAGCAAUAAGUAGACCGCCUGGGGAGUACGGCCGCAAGGUUAAAACUCAAAUGAAUUUACGGGGGCCCGCACAAGCGGAGGAACAUGUGGUUUAAUUCGAUGAUACGCGAGGAACCUUACCUGGGCUUAAAUGUAGAUUGCAUAGAUUAGAGAUAGUCUUUUUCUUCGGACCUUUUACAAGGUGCUGCAUGGUUGUCGUCAGCUCGUGCCGUGAGGUGUCGGGUUAAGUCCCAUAACGAGCGCAACCCCUAUCGUUAGUUGCUAACAGGUUAAGCUGAGGACUCUAGCGAGACUGCCAUCGUAAGACGAGAGGAAGGUGGGGAUGACGUCAAAUCAGCACGGCCCUUACGUCCAGGGCUACACACGUGUUACAAUGGUCGGUACAGAGGGCAGCUACUAGGUGACUAGAUGCUAAUCUCGAAAGCCGAUCUCAGUUCGGAUCGGAGUCUGCAACUCGACUCCGUGAAGUUGGAUUCGCUAGUAAUCGCAUAUCAGCCAUGAUGCGGUGAAUACGUUCCCGGGCCUUGUACACACCGCCCGUCAAACCAUGGAAGCUGGGGGUACCUGAAGUCCGUAACCGCAAGGAUCGGCCUAGGGUAAAACUGGUAACUAGGGCU
rnacentral:rRNA from 1 species